ensembl:lncRNA
UUUAUUGUCAUCCACAGCUGAUGAACUGACAAUACGCAAAAGGACAGUUAGCUUAAAUUGUUUGACAUGAUUGCUGUGGUCUCUAUAUUUUGUUUUCUUCACUUGCCAGAAAUGACAGGGGCAUCUGACACAAAACGUGCCAACCAAACACCUCCAUCCAUCAUUAAGAGAAUUGGUGAAUCUGUUGAAAGUGAAAUCAAAUGUUCACACAGCAUACCAGGUUAUCAGGUCAUUCUCUGGUACAAGCAAGAUGAAAAAGGAGUCCUACAAUUUCUGGGAUACCUAAAUCUGGAAUUUCCAAACAUUGAGGAUGAUGUCAAAGGGAAAAUCAGCUUUGAUGGAGAUGGCCAAAAAUAUUCAAACCUGGCCAUUUCUAAUGUUUCAGUGACUGACAGUGCCGUGUAUUUCUGUGCUGCUAGUAAGCACAGUACUACAGAUUCCACUGAAGUCAUGCCAAACAGAACGUGGACAUCUUCAUCAUGAGCAAACGACGUCGCCUCAUAUUUUUAUUCUUAUUGCUGUGGGUAUCAGGUCUAACUGAUGGGGGGGAAGUCAAGCAGACCUCCAUACUCUGGAAAAACCAGGGUGAUAAUGUAUCUAUAGAAUGCAGUCAUACCUAUGGCAGUGGCUAUUUCCAAAUGUACUGGUACAGACAGCUGCCUGGAGAACUAAUGAAACAAAUGGUUUUUACUACUCCAAACUCCCAACCUGACUUUGAACCAGACUUCAGGGAUGAAAAAUUCUCAACCAUCAAGCGUGAUGCUCACAGUGGGACACUGAUAGUGAAGAAUUUGGUGCCAGGAGAUCAAGGCUUGUAUUUCUGUGCUGUCAGUGAGCACA